CUUCAACCACUCAAUCCCUGACCACUUUGGAGAAAAGCAACCCUCCAAGAGUUGCACAGAACAAUCCACCUCGGGCACCAUCGUCCGAACCAUCACAUCGCCCACCGAUUGAUGCAAGGAAACCAAGGGAAAAGGACAAUGCUUGUCCUGCACCCUCAAAAUCAAGUCAAAAAUGUACCUCCACUUUCGCACCAUCAACUUCGGCUGAAGGAGACAGCUUCGGGCAGAUGUCUUUGCUGGAGCGACCUUGACUUGGUCACGAUCUUCU
rnacentral:lncRNA from 1 species